CGGAGCGUAGCGCAGCCUGGUAGCGCAUCAGACUGGGGGUCUGAGGGUCGCAGGUUCAAAUCCUGUCGCUCCGACCA
rnacentral:tRNA from 1 species